rnacentral:lncRNA from 1 species
CAGAGUCAAUGUGGAGGCUAUAUACAGGGGGUACCGGUACAGAGUCAAUGUGGAGGCUAUAUACAGGGGGUACCGGUACAGAGUCAAUGUGGAGGCUAUAUACAGGGGGUACCGGUACAGAGUCAAUGUGGAGGCUAUAUACAGGGUAUUACGGUACAGAGUCAAUGUGGAGGCUAUAUACAGGGGGGUACCAGUACAGAGUCAAUGUGGAGGCUAUAUACAGGGGGUACCGGUACAGAGUCAAUGUGGAGGCUAUAUACAGGGGGGUACCGGUACAGAGUCAAUGUGGAG